rnacentral:Y_RNA from 1 species
GGCUGAUCUGAGUGCAAUAGCGUUUGAAACAAAUUGAUCACAGCCAGUUACAGAUUUACUUGUUCCUUGUGCACUCCUACUGCUUCACUUGACUAGCCUUAA